GGCCGCGGGAAUUCGAUUCAGGCCUAACACAUGCAAGUCGUACGAGAGUUUUUAACUCAAGUGGCGGACGGGUGAGUAACACGUAAGAAUUUGCCUUUAGGAGGGGGAUAACAACUGGAAACGGUUGCUAAUACCCCAUAUGCUUUCGAGUGAAAUGGAUUUUCCGCCUAAAGAGAAGCUUGCGGCUGAUUAGCUUGUUGGUGAGGUAAUGGCUUACCAAGGCGACGAUCAGUAUCUGGUUUGAGAGGACGAUCAGACACACUGGAACUGAGACACGGUCCAGACUCCUACGGGAGGCAGCAGUGGGGAAUUUUCCGCAAAGGGCGAAAGCCUGACGGAGCAAUACCGCGUGAGGGAUGAAGGGGUAUGGGUUGUAAACCUCUUUUUCAGGGAGGAAUCAA
rnacentral:rRNA from 1 species